rnacentral:lncRNA from 1 species
GGGGUUAGAAUCCAGAUGUGUCUGGCUCCACAGCCCAGUUUUUUCUGCUGUGGGAAAAGCUGUCCCUCUCAUUUGGAGUAUGGAGUGGGGGCAGAGAUGGACAAAAUGGUAGGUUAAGAAUGGAAUUAAUAAAGCAUCGUAGACGCAUUUCCUGAAAAAAUUGGUCUAAGGUGCCCCAGAGGGACCAAAAAAUAUUGGAUAGCAUAGUAUUAGGAAAAAUAAAACAAAAAAGAAAAUAUCAUUCUGCCUGCAGCGCAGCUUGAAGAGGGAUGAUUCUGAGCGCAAUGCUGGUGUAAACACUCAAGGCGGGAGGACCCGUGAUAGCACCACCCCUGCGUGUUCCUUGUCGUCAUGGAGUGAAGAGGCAACACGGAUUAUUAAAAAUAGUUCUGAAGCCCAUGGUAGAUCAGCCACUUCUUUUCCUUUUAGGUCACCCAAGCUAACACAAUAGCAAAAGAAAACUUGUUAAUGUGUUACAAAAUGCACAGUAGGCAGACCCUGGGAUGUUUCAAAAAACAGAGAUAUCUGUACUUAGAGGCUAUUAGUCGCUAUAGAGUAAUGUCUGCUGGCGCUGCUUUUUCAACAGGGGAAUCAAAUUUCUUAUUGUGCUAUCAGCCUCCCGCCGUAUCAUUUUUAAAGGAACCUGGGCAGGAGGAGAUAAGCCAAUAUAUCUGCCUGUUGAGCCUACAGUUAAAAAUAAUUAUAAAGAACAUGGUGAUGCUUCAGAAACUAUCAGGUGGUGAAGCCUUUUCCAAUCCGGUCUCUCUCCCCAUCAUCCGUAUGUGGAUUAACUGCCUCCAGCCAGCUUGUGGAGCCUUCUGAAGCGAAUGAGGCGCUAUGUGAUUCUGAGAGUUGCAGAGCACCUAAGUACGUGCCCACCACCCCCACCUCUUGUUAUCUGAGUAGCUGACUACCCUUGAUGUGUUAAGAUUUUAUCUGCGGCUGGUACUUUAAAAGUUCUUAGAUGAUCAGUUUAUAGAACUGUAUGUGGCAGGGAACAACAUUCUGUCUUACAACAUUAUUCGAGUUGUAACACAAGCCUCCUUGACCUAAUUCAUGAGAAAACAUGAUACCAUUUUGAUCUGAAAACUGCUAUAGAAAGUAAUUGUUCUCUGAAACGCAUCUCAGGCAAUGCGGAUACCAACUUAAUUUUUCUCCUUCACUGCUGUUAUUUAUGAGGCAGAGGCUAGGAGAAGAGAGAUGUUUUUAGAUGAAAGGUGAAAUAUUCUAUUGUAGAGUAUGUUUUAUGAGGAAGAGAAAGAGAUAUAUAAUUUCUGACUCUGGGUUUGCAUAGGCUCCAGACAUCUUUUAAGUUAGCAUCUCAAAACAUUAUUUAAGGCUCUGUUCUCUGGGAUCUUGAAGUCCUAGUUUAUUUUUUGAUAUAAAGUCAUAUCAGUCACAGGGUAAACUCUCUCCUAACAAUCAGCAAGCCAAGGGCAUUCCCCCCACAUCUUCAAGGUUAAAGGGUUCCAUUUACUCCGAAUGUAUUUAAUGAGCAUAUCUUAUCAUAAAAUAUGCUUUUAAUGAUAUUUGGCUUAUAACGUGUUAUUUCCCACUAAUUUCUUUAAUGACAGUUCCCUUCUCUGGUGUGGUUUGGAUUCUAGAGUAAGGACCACAAGUAGAAUGAGGAUUCAAGAAUAAGUCUGAGGCCUUACAGGAGAGAAGCCUUUUCAGGAAAUUCUCCCAGUAAACCUGGUUCCAGCACUAAAUGGUCAUGGACACUGUGCUCAAACCCUACCCCAAACCCCAACGUUGCACAGCUGAGGUGAUUGCCACAGGGAUGGCUCAUAAGUGGGGUUGUUCAGGCAUUUGAGAAGUUCUCUGGCUGAGGAAGGACCCUUUCUCACUGUCUUUCUUCCUAAAUGAGGCGAGUCCUGAACUGACCUUGAAAGGAGCUGAGGGUAUGGGUUGGCACAUGCUGAGAAGGAUGUGUGAUGGAACACAAAGGCAGGAGAUGGGCCAGAGAGACUUAUAAACAGGCUGGUGAGCACAGAAUGGAGAGAAGCAGGGCCUGCAGGAAGGGAAAGGGGGGAAUUGGGAGUGACAGGAAUGUCCAAAGAGGGCUUUAAGUUGCAAAGCCACAUGUUCUUCUGGAACCCCUCUGAGAGAUAUCAGAUGUGGGACAUGGUCUCGUGAUCCCAGGGGUGAUCCUAUAAGGGACGCUGCCGGACUCCAUUCUCAAGACUGUACCUUAAAGAUACAGGCAUGGCCAUAAAGUCUCCUCUAACCAGCUAUACUCAGACCCCAAACCAAAAGUUGACAUGACCCAAAGCAGGAAGAAGCCAAUGGCCCUUUCAAUAUCUAGAGUGCCAACCUCAGGAACAGUUGGGGCUGCCUGAGACCAUGACUGUGAAAGUUUUCUUCCCUCGAGGCCAAGCUUUUCCAACUCGGCAUUAUUGACAUUUUGGGCUGGGUGAUUCUUUGCUGGGGAGGAGGUUGUCCUGUGUGGGGGCGGAUGUUUAGCAGCAUUUCUGGCCUCUGCCUACUAGAUACCACUAAACAGCACCCUCCUUCUCAGUCAUGACAACCAAAAAUAUCUCCAGAUAGUCCCAAAUGUCCCCUAAGGGGCAAAAGUACCCCCAGUUGAGAACCACUGCUGCAGGCCAGCAUGGACACAAAAAUCACACAGCCCCAAGCCUUUGUUUCACUAGCAGCAUUCUAGAAUGUGAUCCUGGUACCUUGAGCUAUUCUCCUACAUCUCAAUCUCUUAGUGUCCCUGAACAACACACCUUAAGCCUGAACGAUGGUCCUCAUUCAGCAUGAGACUAUUAUUGCCUGCUGAGUCCAUGACUUGGACUCCCAUUUAUAGGAUUAUUUUUUUCUGCAGAUGGAAAACUCUGUGAGAACGAUGCACGGAGCAGGAAGCAGGAAGGUGUGAGGCAUUUGAAAAGAGUUGAUAAUAGGGAAUUCCAACAGACCUGAUUUUGAAUUCUCUUUUUGCCAUGUAAUAGCUGUGUGAACUUGAACAAUUUACUCUCUUUAGAUCUGUUUUCUUAUUGGUAAAUCAUGAUUAAAAACAAAAAUCUCUCAUCCCAUUUUGAUGAGGCAUUUUGAGGAGAGUUAAUGUGUGACCCAACUUCUUUUCAACAAUAUGUUCAAGGGGCAUGAUGCAAAGAAUAUAAGCCCAGGCUGUGCUUCUUAGGAGCACCAGGAAACCGAGUGUCUAUGCCAAGUGAACAGAGGAGGUAUUGUGCACCUUGGGUCAGAGACAGUGGGAUUUGACUACUCCUUGAGCCUUUGGUUAAGCAUGGGAGAGUAGAGAAAGGCACUCCAGGUGCUGGGAAGGACAGUCUCAGGUGUCUGGGAAGGCAGGGAUGGUGAGCAGCUCUAUCUGGCUGAGCCAGAGGAAAAGCAGCACAAGAAGUCUGGGUUCUGCUUUGUCAGGGCUGGCCUCCGUAGUUCAGGGUCCACGGUGAGUGAGUCUGCCUGGGGGAGUGAGACAUAGUGAGAAUAAAAGCUCAGGCCCAGAGAAGACCCA